CAAGUCUGUUGACCGAAGGAAUACGGCGGACUAGGAGUGCCGAACCUGCGCCUACUCAAUACGUCUCUCAGAUCGCAAUGGCCGUGGCUUCCACGGACAGACCCAGGCAGAUCAUGGGCGGAAUUCAACUUACAAGUCUCAUCGGACUCGAUGGCCAUCUACAAAGCAGCCACCAAGUGCACCGUCGGAGGCGGCUCCACAAUUCUAUUUUGGAUAGAUUGGUGGCUUUAGGAGGGGCGCAUCCAAGAUAUCAUGCCCAGCCUAUUCGGUGCGGUCAACAAGACCAUAAUAAAGUUCAAGACGACGAGUAAAGAAAUCUUAGGACAAUGGUGGCGCGAUGUGACACCCAACAUGGCCGCCCAAGCAAUGAGAAAUGUCUAA
rnacentral:rRNA from 1 species